rnacentral:rRNA from 1 species
GAGUACGGCGAGACACGUGGAAUCUCGUCGGAAUCUGGGAGGACCAUCUCCCAACCCUAAAUACUCCCUAGUGACCGAUAGUGAACCAGUACCGUGAGGGAAAGGUGAAAAGCACCCCGGGAGGGGAGUGAAAUAGAACCUGAAACCGUGUGCCUACAACAAGUUCGAGCCCGUUAAUGGGUGAGAGCGUGCCUUUUGUAGAAUGAACCGGCGAGUUACGAUAUGAUGCGAGGUUAAGUUGAAGAGACGGAGCCGUAGGGAAACCGAGUCUGAAUAGGGCGCUUUAGUAUUAUGUCGUAGACCCGAAACCAUGUGACCUACCCAUGAGCAGGUUGAAGGUGCGGUAAAACGCACUGGAGGACCGAACCAGGGCACGUUGAAAAGUGCUUGGAUGACUUGUGGGUAGCGGAGAAAUUCCAAACGAACUUGGAGAUAGCUGGUUCUCUCCGAAAUAGCUUUAGGGCUAGCGUCGAUGUUAAGUCUCUUGGAGGUAGAGCACUGUUUGGGUGAGGGGUCCAUCCCGGAUUACCAAUCUCAGAUAAACUCCGAAUGCCAACGAGAUAUAAUCGGCAGUCAGACUGCGAGUGCUAAGAUCCGUAGUCGAAAGGGAAACAGCCCAGACCACCAGCUAAGGUCCCAAAAUAAUUGUUAAGUGGAAAAGGAUGUGGGGUUGCACAGACAACUAGGAUGUUAGCUUGGAAGCAGCUAUUCAUUCAAAGAGUGCGUAAUAGCUCACUAGUCGAGUGACCCUGCGCCGAAAAUGUACCGGGGCUAAAACAUAUUACCGAAGCUGUGGAUACCUUUAUAGGUAUGGUAGGAGAGCGUUCUAUGUGUGGAGAAGGUGUACCGUGAGGAGCGCUGGAACGCAUAGAAGUGAGAAUGCCGGUAUGAGUAGCGAAAGACAGGUGAGAAUCCUGUCCACCGUAAGACUAAGGUUUCCAGGGGAAGGCUCGUCCGCCCUGGGUUAGUCGGGACCUAAGGAGAGACCGAAAGGUGUAUCCGAUGGACAACAGGUUGAUAUUCCUGUACUAGAGUAUGUAGUGAUGGAGGGACGCAGUAGGCUAACUAAAGCAGACGAAUGGAAGUGUCUGUCUAAGCAGUGAGGUGUGAUAUGAGUCAAAUGCUUAUAUCUAUAACAUUGAGCUGUGAUGGGGAGCGAAGUUUAGUAGCGAAGUUAGUGAUGUCACACUGCCAAGAAAAGCUUCUAGCGUUAAUUAUACUCUACCCGUACCGCAAACCGACACAGGUAGUCGAGGCGAGUAGCCUCAGGUGAGCGAGAGAACUCUCGUUAAGGAACUCGGCAAAAUGGCCCCGUAACUUCGGGAGAAGGGGCGCUGACUUAUGGUCAGCCGCAGUGAAUAGGCCCAAGCAACUGUUUAUCAAAAACACAGCUCUCUGCUAAAUCGUAAGAUGACGUAUAGGGGGUGACACCUGCCCGGUGCUGGAAGGUUAAGAGGAGGGGUGCAAGCUCCGAAUUGAAGCCCCAGUAAACGGCGGCCGUAACUAUAACGGUCCUAAGGUAGCGAAAUUCCUUGUCGGGUA